rnacentral:lncRNA from 1 species
AAAAAAAAAAAAAAAUUUAUGGUGAGGCUGAGAAGAUGAGAGGGUGUCAGUUUUUUUAAGGUCGUUGACAUCUGAUGUAACACAGUCAUGUGCUUUGCUUGUCAUUUAAAUUGAAUUCAACCUCAGUGGUGACUGCUUGUUAUGAUAUCAUGCGUGAACAGCUACUUUCUCUAACCUUCUUUAAAAUUAAUUUGAUAUUUGAAUCAUACACUGACAAAAUCUUCAAUAACUGAGAGUCCUUUUAUAAUACAAUAUCCCCUUUGCCAGUGGGCCCUUUUUAAAUAUAAUAUCCCCUUUACCAGAUGAUCCUUUUGGAAAACAAUAUCCCCUUUACCAGAGGGUCCUUUUGGAAUACAUAAAGGCAACAGAAGUAUACCGAUAUUCAAAACUCAUAAAUCGAUAGAAAAAAACAAAUCCGGGUCACAAACUAAAUUAAAUAUAAGAGGAGAAUGACAACAUUAAAAUGUAACACACACAGAAACGAACUAAGCAAUAGACAAAAUCCGAUGAGAAUAACAAAUAUAACAUCAAAACUGAAUACAUGAAUUUGGGAUAGAAAAAUACCGUGACACGUCUUAUAAUAAUUUGAAUUCCCACUCAAAUAUAAGAGGAAACAAACGACAGAAAAGAAACACAACGUUAAAAAGUAACACACACAGAAACGAACUAUAAUAUAAUAAUGACCAUAUUCCUGACUUGGUACAACACAUUUUUUAAAGAAAAAAAUGGUAAUACAAUAUCCCUUAUACUAGUGGGCCCUUUUGAAAUACAAAAUCCCCGAUAACAAAGGAUUCUUUUGGAAUACAACAUCCCCUAUACUAGAGGGUCCUUUUGGAGUACAAAAUCACGAUACCAGAGUGUCCUUUUGAAAUACUUGUCCAUUGUCUACCUCAUUGAUGUAUCGACACGUAAAGAUAGCGUUACACUAGACACUUG